rnacentral:rRNA from 1 species
GACGAACGCUGGCGGCAUGCCUAAUACAUGCAAGUCGAACGCUGAAACACGCUGCUUGCAGAGUUCAGAUUAGUGGCGAACGGGUGAGUAACACGUGGGAAAUCUACCUAUAAGAGUGGGAUAACAUUCGGAAACGGAUGCUAAUACCGCAUACAUUCUUGAACCGCAUGGUUCUUUAAUGAAAGACGGCUUUGCUGUCACUUUUAGAUGAACCCGCGCCGUAUUAGCUAGUUGGUAAGUUAAAGGCUUACCAAGACCAUGAUGCGUAGCCGACCUGAGAGGGUGAUCGGCCACACUGGAACUGAGACACGGCCCAGACUCCUACGGGAGGCAGCAGUAGGGAAUCUUCCACAAUGGGUGCAAGCCUGAUGGAGCAAUGCCGCGUGAGUGAAGAAGGUCUUCGGAUCGUAAAGCUCUGUUAUUAGAGAAGAACAAGUGUGGAAGUAACUAUGCAGACCUUGACGGUACCUAACCAGAAAGUCACGGCUAACUACGUG